ACUCAAAUGAAUUGACGGGGGCCCGCACAAGCGGCGGAGCAUGCGGAUUAAUUCGAUGCAACGCGAAGAACCUUACCAAGGCUUGACAUGCACUCGUAACGUCCAGAGAUGGGCGCCCCGUAAGGCGGGUGCACAGGUGGUGCAUGGUUGUCGUCAGCUCGUGUCGUGAGAUGUUGGGUUAAGUCCCGCAACGAGCGCAACCCUCGUCCCAUGUUGCCAGCGGGUUAUGCCGGGGACUCAUGGGAGACUGCCGGGGUCAACUCGGAGGAAGGUGGGGAUGACGUCAAAUCAUCAUGCCCCUUAUGUCUUGGGCUUCACGCAUGCUACAAUGGCCGGUACAGAGGGCUGCGAUACCGCAAGGUGGAGCGAAUCCCUAAAAGCCGGUCUCAGUUCGGAUUGGGGUCUGCAACUCGACCCCAUGAAGUCGGAGUCGCUAGUAAUCGCAGAUCAGCAACGCUGCGGUGAAUACGUUCCCGGGCCUUGUACACACCGCCCGU
rnacentral:rRNA from 1 species